rnacentral:rRNA from 1 species
CAACCUGCCCCUGACUCUGGGAUAAGCGCUGGAAACGGAGUCUAAUACUGGAUAUGUCCCGUCACCGCAUGGUGUGCGGGUGGAAAGAUUUUUCGGUUGGGGAUGGGCUCGCGGCCUAUCAGCUUGUUGGUGAGGUAAUGGCUCACCAAGGCGUCGACGGGUAGCCGGCCUGAGAGGGUGACCGGCCACACUGGGACUGAGACACGGCCCAGACUCCUACGGGAGGCAGCAGUGGGGAAUAUUGCACAAUGGGCGCAAGCCUGAUGCAGCAACGCCGCGUGAGGGAUGACGGCCUUCGGGUUGUAAACCUCUUUUAGCAGGGAAGAAGCGAGAGUGACGGUACCUGCAGAAAAAGCACCGGCUAACUACGUGCCAGCAGCCGCGGUAAUACGUAGGGUGCAAGCGUUAUCCGGAAUUAUUGGGCGUAAAGAGCUCGUAGGCGGUCUGUCGCGUCUGCUGUGAAAUCCCGAGGCUCAACCUCGGGCUUGCAGUGGGUACGGGCAGACUAGAGUGCGGUAGGGGAGAUUGGAAUUCCUGGUGUAGCGGUGGAAUGCGCAGAUAUCAGGAGGAACACCGAUGGCGAAGGCAGAUCUCUGGGCCGUAACUGACGCUGAGGAGCGAAAGGGUGGGGAGCAAACAGGCUUAGAUACCCUGGUAGUCCACCCCGUAAACGUUGGGAACUAGUUGUGGGGUCCUUUCCACGGAUUCCGUGACGCAGCUAACGCAUUAAGUUCCCCGCCUGGGGAGUACGGCCGCAAGGCUAAAACUCAAAGGAAUUGACGGGGACCCGCACAAGCGGCGGAGCAUGCGGAUUAAUUCGAUGCAACGCGAAGAAC